UUCUAAGCAAUUACAAUGCAACUGAAUUACAUUUUUAAAAAUAUCAAAUACAUAAUAAAUUUAUAUUUUUAAAUAAUUAAUAAAUUCAAAGUAAACUGAAAUAUUAAUAUAAAAUAUAAAAAAUAAAUAAAUUUGGGUGUUCCCGCUGCUGAAAAAGCGAGCGGCAAACUUCCCCCCCCCCCCUGUUUCAUUUCGAGAGACAAAAACAAACAAAACAAUUAAUCGGGGCUUUCAGACACAAUACACACUCACUCCGCUCACACAAACAAAACUCACUCACCUCCGCUCAAACUCACCCCUCUCCGCUGCUCAAAUCCACCUCUCCGCUCAGAUACACCGUCUCCGGCACUCACACUCACCUGUAAUUAGGGCUUCGAUUAAAUUGGGGUUUUACUGGAACUAGGGCUAGCUUCGAUUUGCAGCUUCGAUUUGCUUGGAUUUAAGUGAUGGAUGCUGAGGAAACUUGGACCGAUCUCCCCAAAUAUAGUGAACAGUACAUUACGGGUGUAAAGGCAUUUCUGCUAAAUGCCUUCCCCAAAUUUGCUGUUGGUGAUGAGAUGACCUGCCCUUGCAAAAAGUGCAAGAACAUCAAGUGGCAGAGUCACGAUCUUAUCUAUGAUCAUCUCAUCUGCAAUGGUCCUUGUCCAUUAUACCUCAACUGGAUCCUUGAGGUUUCAACCGGAAAGCGUAGACAAAAUAUUGAA